CUGGCGUCCUUGGGUAGAGACUCCGAAGAUAGCUCGGGUGGUUCUAGGGUUUCAGAUUAUUCAUGAUAAUUUGCGAUUGAGAAUGUCCGAGUUCAUCGUUCCCGUUUUGUGGUGGUGGUGGUUCUUACUUCUUACAGAUUUAACUUUUUAUAUUAUUGACUGGAACUCAGUUCAAUGAAGACAAUUCAAUCAAUGGAAUAGUCGCUGGUCCAUUCUUAAGAUCUAGGGUUAACCAGUUUUAUGGCGGUUAACCACUAUAUACGAUGACAGAUUUCGUCAUUGUCUACACUUGCAAAGCUUGUAGGCGUUCUUGAAAUGCUUGUAUUGCAAGUCUCGUGCCACUUUACUUGAAUGUGGAUCGUUGAUCGCAACGAAAAAUUCAGACUUGACCUUCUCUUGGAGGCAUGCUGGCAUUAUGUUCUUUCUUCUUAAUCUCUUGUGACCUCAGUUCACGUACGAUUGUCGUUUUUACUGGAAGUAUGCUAGCAUUUUCUUGCCUAUUAUUCUUGUGGUAACUUUAUUGCAUAGGUUGACUGGGGAAAAAAUAACAAUUAUGCAAUGCUUGUUUCGGAUCUUAUUAUUUUACACAAUACAUCCAUAUCGGGAAUCUAUUUACAGCUCCGUACUUCACCUGGUGAAAUUUAAUUUGAUGCAUCUCUUAGGGGUAAUGUCCUCUGAAGGGGUAGCGAGCUUGCCUUUAAGGUGAUUUGGUUUUGCAAGAUCACAUGCUCUCUUUUGAAUUCUAAUUCUUUUGAUAUUCUGAGUCUUGUCAUCUGACAUUGAUUCAUUUUUGCUCCUCCCCCUUCCUUGAUUUUUUUUCCAGUAAUAUUGUUGCUAUAGGUUCAAGAUUGUCUACUUUGCUACACAGUGUGACAUGCUGUACAUUUGGAGACCUAUUGAUUUAGUUUUUGUCCACUUGCUAAGAUAGAUAUUGACAAUACUAUUAGUAUUUGAUGGUUAUGUAGCCCUAUGAGUUUCAUUAUGGAUUCUCAUUUCUUGUUUUCAUGGGUUCCCUGAGAUUAACCUUUGGUGAUAAUCUGUUGUUUACAUUGGAAUAAUUACUGCCUACAUGGUCAAGCUCUCAAGCAUGUCAUGGGGGUUUGCAUUUUUUGUGUAAGUUGGUGAUAAAUCAGUUGUUUACAUUGGAGUAAUUACUGCCUGCCUGGUCAACCUCUCAAGCAAGUCAAGGGGGUCUGCAUUUUUAUGUUUUUUAUCCGCGUUCAUACUAAAGCUUGCCUAUGGGUGAAAAUAUGUGAUGCUUGGCUGGAGUGAUUAUUGGUUUCCCGUGAUCUGAGAGGGGGCAUGUACUUGCCUUUUUUGUUUUGAUUCCAUAGCAAGAGUGCUUAUUGUGUUUCCUGUGUCUGCCUUUGGCGGUGAAGGUUCUCAAGAAAUCUGUUGCUCAUUGUUCUGAAAUGAGAUAUCAACUCCCCUCCCCUCCCCUCCUGGAAGCUAGCAGUUCUCUAAUUUUUUUCUUUUGUUGGAAUGCUCAAAAUUCUCCAUGACCUUAUUUUAGUUUAUGCUGCAACUUCGUUUUGGAGGAGCAUUGCUUGAUUGAUUCUCUUAUAUUGUGUUACUUUACCCAAGAUUUCUACUACGUUGCAACUGCUUAUUAUUACAGACAGUUUGAUUCGAUGCAUCUCCUUGGUCAUUUGACUUCUGGUAUGUUCUCCGUUGCUUUGACGUUUGUAGGAGAUUCAUUUGCCGCUCUUGCAAGAUGGUUAUAAUGUACUUAUGCUGCAUGUAUUGUAUGCAGCAGCUUAUUGCAGGAAAAAAGUAUAUUUUGAUUCAGAUUCAUCUUAUUAGGCAUUUGAUACUCUGGAAUUAGGAUUAUUAUUCUUCCACACAUUGAGAUUAUUAAUGUGAUGCUAUUGUGCAGAAUGGGUUUGGACUAAUUUUAUAGGGAGUUAAAUACUUUGUUGUUGCUUGAUUUUAUUGUCAGAGGCAUUUACGAAGUUCAAUACACAAAAAUUUUGCCGU